GGGCCCGCACAAGCGGUGGAGUAUGUGGUUUAAUUCGAUGCAACGCGAAGAACCUUACCAGGGUUUGACAUCCUGCGAAUCUCUUGGAAACAGGAGAGUGCCUUCGGGAACGCAGUGACAGGUGGUGCAUGGCUGUCGUCAGCUCGUGUCGUGAGAUGUUGGGUUAAGUCCCGCAACGAGCGCAACCCACGUCUUUAGUUGCCAGCAUUUAGUUGGGCACUCUAGAGAGACUGCCGGUGAUAAACCGGAGGAAGGUGUGGAUGACGUCAAGUCAUCAUGCCCCUUACAUCCUGGGCUACACACGUACUACAAUGGCCGGUACAGAGAGCAGCCACUACGCGAGUAGGAGCGAAUCUUCAAAACCGGUCUCAGUUCGGAUCGCAGUCUGCAACUCGACUGCGUGAAGCUGGAAUCGCUAGUAAUCG
rnacentral:rRNA from 1 species